GUGUACGAGCAAAGGAGGCGCAGCGCAUAGAUCACAAAUAUUAAUGGUUGCGUGUGUGUGUGUGUGUGUGUGCUGGGGGGUUCGCAACAGGAUGCUGUUUAUGUCUGUUAAGUGAAAAAUUCACUUUUAUUGAGUCUGCACGAAUCUCGAUUGACGUUUUCACUUCUCCUCUCGCAAUGUUAUUACCAUUUACUGCCAUUCACAAAAUACUCAAUACAAUAAUGUGGCCAAAUAAGCCGAAAUACCAAAAAUACCAACUUAAGCACAAAACUUGCGGCAAUGACGUAGUUGGUCAUAGAUGACAUAAAACCAAAUAACACUGAUUGAUUGCACGCCACGUAAAGUCAAAGGAUGGUCUUGUCAUCGAUAGCUGGUCGGUUAGAUUAGAGAAGAUAGUAUGUAAGGUUGAGAUUAAGAAGAAAAGA